UACGAGUGGCUCAAGCGUUAUCCGGAAUUAUUGGGCGUAAAGGGUGUGUAGGUGGUUAUGUUAGUCGGGUGUCGAACCUCUGGGCUCAACUUAGAGACAGCAUUCGAAACGGCAUGACUAGAGUAUGUUAGGGGUGAGCGGAACUCAUAGUGUAGGGGUGAAAUCCGUUGAUAUUAUGGGGAACACCAAAAGCGAAGGCAGCUCACUGGGACAUUACUGACACUGAAACACGAAAGCGUGGGUAGCGAAUGGG
rnacentral:rRNA from 1 species